rnacentral:pre_miRNA from 1 species
AAAUCACUUUGCUUGGAAUUCACAUUGAUGUACGUAAGAAUUCAUCACGAAGUGGUUUCUG